UAGAGUAACGCCAUGGUAAGGCGUAAGUCAUCGGUUCAAAUCGCU
rnacentral:tRNA from 2 species